AUAUUUAAGUGAAAAAACCUUGGUCCUCACUUCUUUUUCAACCCUUCUCUUCAUUUGCUCUACUGGUGUCCGAGGUUGCUGAUGCCUCCUUCCAUUUCUCUCUCUCCAAAUGUGAUAAAUGGUAGUCUGGAACAGCAAUUUUGCCAACACUGAAUCCAUGCUUUGGUGCAUACCAAUCAAAUGCUGAAUUGUCCAGUGCCAAUCUGGAUUAAUCCCCCAACCCAUGAGACCUUUGGCCAAAGAUUCCCAGACUGUAUAAGAAUAAGGGCAAGCAAAAAAUAAGUGAUCCCUGGUUUCAUCUCUCUCUCCACACAGCUCACAUCCUUGUACUACUCCCCAUUGC
rnacentral:lncRNA from 1 species